rnacentral:rRNA from 1 species
AGAGUUUGAUCCUGGCUCAGAACGAACGCUGGCGGCAUGCCUAACACAUGCAAGUCGAACGAUGUCUUCGGGCAUAGUGGCGCACGGGUGAGUAACGCGUGGGAACCUGCCUUUCGGUUCGGAAUAACUGCGGGAAACUGCAGCUAAUACCGGAUACGUCGGUAUCCUUUAGCGGGAUAUCGGGAAAGAUUUAUCGCCGAGAGAGGGGCCCGCGUCCGAUUAGGUAGUUGGUGAGGUAACGGCUCACCAAGCCUACGAUCGGUAGCUGGUCUGAGAGGAUGAUCAGCCACACUGGGACUGAGACACGGCCCAGACUCCUACGGGAGGCAGCAGUGGGGAAUAUUGGACAAUGGGCGCAAGCCUGAUCCAGCAAUGCCGCGUGAGUGAUGAAGGCCUUAGGGUUGUAAAGCUCUUUCGGCGGGGACGAUGAUGACGGUACCCGCAGAAGAAGCCCCGGCUAACUUCGUGCCAGCAGCCGCGGUAAUACGAAGGGGGCUAGCGUUGUUCGGAAUUACUGGGCGUAAAGGGCGCGUAGGCGGCGCUACAAGUUAGGCGUGAAAGCCCCGGGCUCAACCUGGGAAUUGCGUUUGAUACUGUAGUGCUAGAGUUCGGGAGAGGUGAGUGGAAUUCCCAGUGUAGAGGUGAAAUUCGUAGAUAUUGGGAAGAACACCAGUGGCGAAGGCGGCUCACUGGACCGACACUGACGCUGAGGCGCGAAAGCGUGGGGAGCAAACAGGAUUAGAUACCCUAGUAGUCC